rnacentral:SRP_RNA from 2 species
GCUGGGCGUGGUGAUGUGCACCUGUAGUUCCACCUACUUGGGAGGCUGAGGCAGGAGGAUGACUUGAGCCCGGGAGUUCCAGACUGCAGUGAGCUAUGAUUGCGCCACUGCACUCUAGUCUGGGUGAUAAAGCCAGACCCUGUCUCAA